AGCAGCCGCGGUAAUUCCAGCUCCAAUAGCGUAUAUUAAAGUUGUUGCAGUUAAAAAGCUCGUAGUUGAAUUUCGGGAUCAGACUGUCGGUCGUGCCUCGGUACGCACUGGCAUUAUUGGUUCCUACCUUCUGAAGAACCGCGAUGUCAUUAAUUUGGUGUCGUGGGGAAUCAGGACUGUUACUUUGAAAAAAUUAGAGUGUUUAAAGCAGGCGCACGCUUGAAUACAUUAGCAUGGAAUAAUGAAAUAGGACGUUUGAUUCUAUUUUGUUGGUUUCUAGGAUCGACGUAAUGAUUAAUAGGGAUAGUUGGGGGCAUUAGUAUUCAAUUGUCAGAGGUGAAAUUCUUGGAUUUAUUGAAGACUAACUACUGCGAAAGCAUUUGCCAAGGAUGUUUUCAUUAAUCAAGAACGAAAGUUAGGGGAUCGAAGACGAUCAGAUACCGUCGUAGUCUUAACCAUAAACUAUGCCGACUAGGGAUCGGAUGAUGUUAAUUUUUUAAUGACUC
rnacentral:rRNA from 1 species